rnacentral:rRNA from 1 species
GGCGGACGGGUGAGUAAUAUAUAGUUAACCUGCCCUCGAGAAAGGAAUAACAGUUGGAAACGACUGCUAAUGCCCUAUAUGCCUUUAAGACAUAAGUCUGCAAGGGAAAUGCUUUUGUGCUCGAGGAUGGGACUGUACGGUAUCAGAUAGUUGGUGGGGUAAUGGCCUACCAAGUCAAUGACGCCUAACUGGUUUGAGAGGAUGAUCAGUCACACUGGAACUGAGACACGGUCCAGACUCCUACGGGAGGCAGCAGUGGGGAAUAUUGCACAAUGGAGGAAACUCUGAUGCAGCAACGCCGCGUGGAGGAUGACACAUUUCGGUGCGUAAACUCCUUUUAUAUAGGAAGAUAAUGACGGUACUAUAUGAAUAAGCGCCGGCUAACUCCGUGCCAGCAGCCGCGGUAAUACGGAGGGCGCAAGCGUUACUCGGAAUCACUGGGCGUAAAGAGCGUGUAGGCGGAUAGAUAAGUCAGAAGUGAAAUCCUAUGGCUCAACCAUAGAACUGCUUUUGAAACUGUUUAUCUAGAGUGUGGGAGAGGUAGAUGGAAUUUCUGGUGUAGGGGUAAAAUCCGUAGAGAUCAGAAGGAAUACCGAUUGCGAAGGCGAUCUACUGGAACAUAACUGACGCUGAGACGCGAAAGCGUGGGGAGCAAACAGGAUUAGAUACCCUGGUAGUCCACGCCCUAAACGAUGUUCACUAGUUGUUGUGAGGCUUGACCUUGCAGUAAUGCAGUUAACACAUUAAGUGUACC